CCUGCCCUAAAUCGCCUCCUGCCCGGCUUCCUCGCGAACGCCGCUUGCCCAUGGACCACGCGCCUGCGCACGGUUGCCGGUUGUGGGCACGGUGGUGCUCUGCCUCUGCUCAUCGUCGCCUCCCUCACCACAUCUCCUCCGCUACUGUCGCCGUGUGAUGGUGAAUUUCCGCUUCCUCUUCCCCUCUUUUGUUCCAGUUUAGGAUGUGUUAAUGUGAUGUUGUUAAAUGAGAUCAUAUGCUGCUGUUAAGUGAAUUCAUCUGGUGUUGAUUGUUUGUUGUUAUAACCUACGCUUCCUAUUAACAACUCAAACAAAUUCCAAUUACUAUGUUAGUGUUUCAGACAAUUCAUAGACAUCCAAUCAUAUUUUAUUUUUUAGGAAUAAAUAUAGUAGUUUAGCUUCAAACCUUGAUGAUUUGAACUCAUACUUAGAGUUUCCAUGUAUCAAUGGGCUUGAGUUUCAUGCUUGCAUUACCUUUACAGGAGCACAUGAGCUGUUACUUCGAAAUUUAAAAUCUUCUAGUAAUACAGAAAACUGGUUGACCUUCUACUUGGUGUUUCUGGAAAAAAAAACUGGUUGACCUUGGUUAUGACAUCAAGUUCGCAUUGUUUAUCUUUCAAUAUACUAUACCUGUGCUCACAUAUUGUGCGUUCUCUACGGGCUGCAUUUAACAAUCCAGAGCAAGCUGUUGAAUAUUUGUAUACUGUAAGAAACACAGUUUUCGUAUUAAUUGGUUUUCGUUUUCAUGUUUGCUUGGACUUUCUGGAAGCGUAUUUUGUUUGUGGAGUACAAAACAAGUAUUGAUUAUGAUUAGCAAAUUUACUCCAAGGUCUUAGUUUGUAGUAAAUGAUAUUAUAUUUCUGUAGUUUAGGCUUUCCUCUGCACGGGUUCUGUAUUUUUUUUACUUCAUAUAUGCCAACCUCCAGUUCUUGUUCUGGUACAAGUUUCGGAGGAAAUGGUUCUACUAUUGUUUACUUUGAUACCAUUAUGCAGUGCAUGGCUUCUUUGCCGUUUACUCCACUUUAUUCUUCUACAACAUCAGUUGUUGUUUCAGACUGAUAAUUCUCGGAGUCCGCAGUGGUGCUAGUGCUUCUGGCGCUGUACCGGUGAUCCUGUCGUCAUCUGCAUGGAUGAUAGUGCCCAACCUCAAGCUCCAGGUUCUCUUGAACAUUUCAGUUGGUGAAAUAAAACUAAGCAUCCGCAGGUCACUAGUCAAACUAAGUUUCGGUGUCCUCUCCAAGGACCCAAAGGCCAUGGUCUUCUAAUCAAUAUAAGGAGUGUUAUAAAGAAUGUAUUGGGCGGUUGGCUUUGAAUUUGUCUUUAUUGGGCCAUGCUUGCAUUACCUUUACAGGAGCACAUGAACUGUUACUUCGAAAUUUAAAAUCUUCUAGUAAUACAGAAAACUGGUUGACCUUCUACUUGGUGUUUCUGGAAAAAAAAACUGGUUGACCUUGGUUAUGACAUCAAGUUCGCAUUGUUUAUCUUUCAAUAUACUAUACCUGUGCUCACAUAUUGUGCGUUCUCUACGGGCUGCAUUUAACAAUCCAGAGCAAGCUGUUGAAUAUUUGUAUACUGUAAGAAACGCAGUUUUCGUAUUAAUUGGUUUUCGUUUUCAUGUUUGCUUGGACUUUCUGUUGGACAUCAAGAACAUUUCAGUUGGACAUCUUUUUUGUAUUCUGCUACAAGACAUGGUAGCUCUGUUUUUUUUAUAUCUACUUUGGUACCAUAUAGUUGAGCUGUCCUACCUUAUCAUCUACUGUUGAUUUUCAAGUGACUACGCUCCAUUCCCUUUCUAGUUUUUUUUAGUUUAGAAGUGCUUUUUGAUACUUCGCUCUGAUGCCUUCUUAUUAGUGAUCUUUUAUUGACAUUUCAGGCCAUGGUCUUCUAAUCAAUAUAAGGAGUGUUAUAAAGAAUGUAUUGGGCGGUUGGCUUUGAAUUUGUCUUUAUUGGGCGAUGAGGGUGCCAUAGACUGGCAACGAAUUGUACGGAGGUAUCCAAUCCAAUCGCCUCAGCCCCAUCUCUCUCCUACUACAUACGCAUCUGACGAUUGUUGCUGUUUGUAUGUAUGUUCCCGGGAGGAAGAGACCUCGUUCGCAGGAGCAUACAUAGCUUCUUGGCCAAAUCAAUAGUUACAUACUGUCAGUAUUCUAAAUGUAAAAUUAAUUUCUUCAGAUGUUCGAUAUACAGUUUACUGAAGAAUUUUCUGAUGCUUUUAUAUGAUAGGUUACAUAUUCAUUGCAUUUGUUGCCAGAUUCUUCUUGCUUCCUAAGAAUGAGUUUGAAAUUUCAUGCAGCUGAAUCAUUGAUGCUGCCGCUGCUGGUCUGACAGUCGCUUCGCUGGUGGUGCUGCUGCAUCAGUCGUAGCUGCCACUGAGGCUCUCUGCUACUUCUCCUAGAGAGAUAAAUUACUGGAAGUGCUGCCUGCAUCUUCUUUGUGAGGAGCAUUAUCUUUUUGGUGAGGAUCAUUGUCUUUUUCCGAGUAGUACAGUUCAGGUCCUGUAAGUUAGAUGCUUGGAACUCCAUGCACGGGGUUAAAGAUCCUGUAAUUAGAUUCUGUAAUUUAGAUGCUACAUGGAAAUUUUCGUUCUAGACCAUGUUGACACCAUGUUGCUUGCAAAUGUUGGUUUCAGACCAUGUUGACACAAUGUUGCUUGCAAAUAUUGGUCGCAUCAUGUAAUUUAGAUGCCUGGUUGUAAAUUUAAUGCAUGAUCAUGUCGCUGUGUUGGAUCAAAAUGCCAAGCAAUAUGAAAGUACUAUGAUUA